ACUUAUGAAUAAUAAUAAACGCUAUCUUCACAUAUAUAAACUCUUUCAAAAAGCAGCAUCAUCAGUAAUUCGCUAGAUACCGAAUAGUAUUCAAUCCCAGUAAUUCUUAUCUUCAACUACCAAAAUGAAAUACUUAGUAGCAUUUGUUUUUCUUGCAAUUGUUGUAGUGGCAAAGUGCCAAGAUGCAGGAGAUGAACCAGUUGAAGAAAAAUUGACGAAAGAACAAGUGCUUGACAAAAUUAAUUCACAACUUCCACCCGAUAAUGGAAUAUGUUUCAAUCCAAGAUGUAAGUUGAAUUGUGUAGCAGAAGGUCAUAAAGCAGGAUAUUGUGCAGCAAAUAUAUGUACUUGCAUUGUGUAACUUUUGCAUAAUGAACGGAUAUCGAAACCAAAUCGAAUUAUUCAGUUUUAACAGAUUUUUUGGAAUAUAAUAAAUAAUAAACCAUUCACUUAA